rfam:Oryza rufipogon genomic scaffold, chr03
AAAGAGUGGAGUUUUGUACUGUUUAUAUUUAACGUUUAACCGUCCGUCUUCUUUGAAAAAAAAUUUUAGAUUAGUUUUUGUUGUUAUUUGAUGAUAAAACAUAAAUAGUAUUUUAUGUGUGAUUUUUUUUAUUUUUUCAUAAUUUUUGUAAAUAAGACGAACGGUUAAAUGUGAACACUGGAAACUUACAACUUUACUUAAA